rnacentral:rRNA from 1 species
UACGGAGGAUCCAAGCGUUAUCCGGAAUCAUUGGGUUUAAAGGGUUCGUAGGCGGAUUAGUAAGUCAGGGGUGAAAGUUUGCGGCUUAACCGUAAAAUUGCCUUUGAUACUGCUAGUCUUGAAUGUUUGUGAAGUAGCUAGAAUAUGUAGUGUAGCGGUGAAAUGCUUAGAUAUUACAUGGAAUACCGAUUGCGAAGGCAGGUUACUAACAAAUGAUUGACGCUGAUGAACGAAAGCGUGGGUAGCGAACAGGAUUAGAUACCCUGGUAGUCCACGCCGUAAACGAUGGAUACUAGCUGUUCGGUCGCAGGCUGAGUGGUUAAGCGAAAGUGAUAAGUAUCCCACCUGGGGAGUACGUUCGCAAGAAUGAA